GCCCUGGUAGCUCAGACUGGGAGAGAGGGCAAUGUCGCUACAUAGCCUCUCAAACGACCGCUUGGUAAGCGGUAGAGCCUCGCCGAAGAGGCGCCGACGUCCGGGGUUCAAAGCCCCGCCAGGGCU
rnacentral:tRNA from 1 species